GUUUGCAUAGCUGCCACUUCUACUUUGGUGACUCGGGGGAACCCAACAACAACAACAACAACAACAACAACAACAAACGAGCAAAUGAACUAGCGUGCGGAGGUAAAAGUGCACGUCAGGCCGUGGAAUAUCUACUUGAUAUUCUUUACAGUGGCAGAAAUACCCCUCUUUGAUGCCAACGUUCUCCAACGCGAGAUUAUUGAUUCCCUUUAACUCCAGCGGCGAAUCGGCCACGAGGAAAAGAUAUGGAGUGCUUGGGGAGUCGACUUGGAGGACGACAGGAAGUGACGCCGGGGUUCGACCCUGGUGAGGAUAAGUGGUAGAAAAUGAACGAAAGGACCCGGAAGACUGCUGGGAUAAAUGGAAGCAGGAAUUCUCCUGAAGGAGAACGUCCGUCCGUCUGUUGGUGACCUCCAGCUGAAAGCUACUUGGGUUCUUCAGCGGGACCAUGAUCCAAAACACAGCAACAAGUCCACCUCUGAAUGGCUGAAGACUUGGGAGCGGUCUAGUCCAAGUCCUGACCUGGAUCCUAUGGAGAUGCUGCGGCAUGACCUUCAAAAGGCUUCAUGCUGGGAAAGCCGACAACAAUUCCUCAGAGACUCAUUGCAAGUUAUUGCUUGAUUGCAGUUGUUGCUGCUAAGGGUGACCCAACCAAAGGCACCGGGGAUGCUUUAGCUUUAGUGAGCAUUUCCCAGCAUGCACUUCAUUCAUUCACACUCCAUCCAUGUUCUCAUUGAAUGGAGACACUUUUCAAAUGAACCCUGACAGUUUGGUUUAUUCCUGCACCCCCGUCAUCAGUCACUAUCAGGGGCCCCACGGGGGCUGGGGGUGGGGGCUGCUGUAAGGAGGGUCUUAUUGGAUAUGUGUGUGUGUGUACCUGUGUGUGUUUGUGCAUGUGUGUGUGUGUGUGUUUGAGGUUAUGGACACUAGCAGGAGGACAGAACCAGCCCGAGGUUAAAAGAGGAUGGAACAUUUUCAUUUCUUGGACCGGAGCUCUCAGGAAUAUGGCAGCACCGCUAAGACGCAGUGACAGCCUCCCUCUCGCUCUCACACACACACACACACGCAUACACACACACGCAUACACAUGUAUACACACACACACAAACUGUGUGCAAAGACAUGUUCAGUGAAAUCCAAGGAUGAAGAUGUUCUCAUUGAUGGUAACUGUAAUGUAAGGAUGAGGUCUAUUAGUGGAUGGAUGGAGGAGAUGCUAACUAGGGACAACAUUAUCACCAAGGCCAAGCACACAC